CAGCCGCCGCGGUAAGACGAACCGUGCAAACGUUACUCGGAAUCACUGGGCUUAAAGCGCACGUAGGCGGCGACAUAAGUUAGAGGUGAAAUCCCAUCGGCUCAACCGUGGAACUGCCUCUAAUACUGUGUUGCUUGAGGGAGAACGGGGCAUUCGGAACUUCCGGUGGAGCGGUGAAAUGUGUUGAUAUCGGAAGGAACGCCGGUGGCGAAAGCGGAAUGCUGGGUCUCUUCUGACGCUGAGGUGCGAAAGCUAGGGUAGCGAACGGGAUUAGAUACCCGAGUAGUCCCUGUCUCUUAUA
rnacentral:rRNA from 1 species